rnacentral:rRNA from 1 species
AGUGAACGCUGGCGGUAGGCCUAACACAUGCAAGUCGAACGGCAGCACAGUAAGAGCUUGCUCUUACGGGUGGCGAGUGGCGGACGGGUGAGGAAUACAUCGGAAUCUACUUUUUCGUGGGGGAUAACGUAGGGAAACUUACGUUAAUACCGCAUACGACCUACGGGUGAAAGCAGGGGAUCUUCGGACCUUGCGCGAUUGAAUGAGCCGAUGUCGGAUUAGCUAGUUGGCGGGGUAAAGGCCCACCAAGGCGACGAUCCGUAGCUGGUCUAAGAGGAUGAUCAGCCACACUGGAACUGAGACACGGUCCAGACUCCUACGGGAGGCAGCAGUGGGGAAUAUUGGACAAUGGGCGCAAGCCUGAUCCAGCCAUACCGCGUGGGUGAAGAAGGCCUUCGGGUUGUAAAGCCCUUUUGUUGGGAAAGAAAAGCAGCAGGUUAAUACCCCGCUGUUCUGACGGUACCCAAAGAAUAAGCACCGGCUAACUUCGUG